rnacentral:rRNA from 1 species
UACGUAGGGUGCGAGCGUUAAUCGGAAUUACUGGGCGUAAAGCGUGCGCAGGCGGUUGUGCAAGACAGGUGUGAAAUCCCCGGGCUUAACCUGGGAACUGCAUUUAUGACUGCACGGCUGGAGUGCGGCAGAGGGGGAUGGAAUUCCGCGUGUAGCAGUGAAAUGCGUAGAUAUGCGGAGGAACACCGAUGGCGAAGGCAAUCCCCUGGGCCUGCACUGACGCUCAUGCACGAAAGCGUGGGGAGCAAACAGG